ACCUGGCUAGCUCAGUCAGUGGAGCAUGCACUCUUGAUCUCAGGGUUGUGGGUUUGAACCCCACGUUGGGUG
rnacentral:tRNA from 1 species